rnacentral:rRNA from 1 species
AUAGAGUCAAGUGAAUAAGUGCAUCAGGCGGAUGCCUUGGCGAUGAUAGGCGACGAAGGACGUGUAAGCCUGCGAAAAGCGCGGGGGAGCUGGCAAUAAAGCUAUGAUUCCGCGAUGUCCGAAUGGGGAAACCCACUGCAUUCUGUGCAGUAUCCUAAGUUGAAUACAUAGGCUUAGAGAAGCGAACCCGGAGAACUGAACCAUCUAAGUACCCGGAGGAAAAGAAAUCAACCGAGAUUCCGCAAGUAGUGGCGAGCGAACGCGGAGGAGCCUGUACGUAAUAACUGUCGAGAUAGAAGAACAAGCUGGGAAGCUUGACCAUAGCGGGUGACAGUCCCGUAUUCGAAAUCUCAACAGCGGUACUAAGCGUACGAAAAGUAGGGCGGGACACGUGAAAUCCUGUCUGAAUAUGGGGGACCAUCCUCCAAGGCUAAAUACUCAUCAUCGACCGAUAGUGAACCAGUACCGUGAGGGAAAGGCGAAAAGAACCCCGGGAGGGGAGUGAAACAGAACCUGAAACCUGAUGCAUACAAACAGUGGGAGCGCCCUAGUGGUGUGACUGCGUACCUUUUGUAUAAUGGGUCAACGACUUACAUUCAGUAGCGAGCUUAACCGGAUAGGGGAGGCGUAGGGAAACCGAGUCUUAAUAGGGCGAUGAGUUGCUGGGUGUAGACCCGAAACCGAGUGAUCUAUCCAUGGCCAGGUUGAAGGUGCCGUAACAGGUACUGGAGGACCGAACCCACGCAUGUUGCAAAAUGCGGGGAUGAGCUGUGGGUAGGGGUGAAAGGCUAAACAAACUCGGAGAUAGCUGGUUCUCCCCGAAAACUAUUUAGGUAGUGCCUCGAGCAAGACACUGAUGGGGGUAAAGCACUGUUAUGGCUAGGGGGUUAUUGCAACUUACCAACCCAUGGCAAACUCAGAAUACCAUCAAGUGGUUCCUCGGGAGACAGACAGCGGGUGCUAACGUCCGUUGUCAAGAGGGAAACAACCCAGACCGCCGGCUAAGGUCCCAAAUGAUAGAUUAAGUGGUAAACGAAGUGGGAAGGCACAGACAGCCAGGAUGUUGGCUUAGAAGCAGCCAUCAUUUAAAGAAAGCGUAAUAGCUCACUGGUCGAGUCGUCCUGCGCGGAAGAUGUAACGGGGCUCAAAUCUAUAACCGAAGCUGCGGAUGCCGGUUUACCGGCAUGGUAGGGGAGCGUUCUGUAGGCUGAUGAAGGUGCAUUGUAAAGUGUGCUGGAGGUAUCAGAAGUGCGAAUGUUGACAUGAGUAGCGAUAAAGCGGGUGAAAAGCCCGCUCGCCGAAAGCCCAAGGUUUCCUACGCAACGUUCAUCGGCGUAGGGUAAGUCGGCCCCUAAGGCGAGGCAGAAAUGCGUAGUCGAUGGGAAACAGGUUAAUAUUCCUGUACUUGAUUCAAAUGCGAUGUGGGGACGGAGAAGGUUAGGUUGGCAAGCUGUUGGAAUAGCUUGUUUAAGCCGGUAGGUGGAAGACUUAGGCAAAUCCGGGUUUUCUUAACACCGAGAAGUGAUGACGAGUGUCUACGGACACGAAGCAACCGAUACCACGCUUCCAGGAAAAGCCACUAAGCUUCAGUUUGAAUCGAACCGUACCGCAAACCGACACAGGUGGGCAGGAUGAGAAUUCUAAGGCGCUUGAGAGAACUCGGGAGAAGGAACUCGGCAAAUUGAUACCGUAACUUCGGGAGAAGGUAUGCCCUCUAAGGUUAAGGACUUGCUCCGUAAGCCCCGGAGGGUCGCAGAGAAUAGGUGGCUGCGACUGUUUAUUAAAAACACAGCACUCUGCCAACACGAAAGUGGACGUAUAGGGUGUGACGCCUGCCCGGUGCCGGAAGGUUAAUUGAAGAUGUGCAAGCAUCGGAUCGAAGCCCCGGUAAACGGCGGCCGUAACUAUAACGGUCCUAAGGUAGCGAAAUUCCUUGUCGGGUAAGUUCCGACCCGCACGAAUGGCGUAACGAUGGCCACACUGUCUCCUCCCGAGACUCAGCGAAGUUGAAGUGGUUGUGAAGAUGCAAUCUACCCGCUGCUAGACGGAAAGACCCCGUGAACCUUUACUGUAGCUUUGCAUUGGACUUUGAAGUCACUUGUGUAGGAUAGGUGGGAGGCUUGGAAGCAGAGACGCCAGUCUCUGUGGAGUCGUCCUUGAAAUACCACCCUGGUGUCUUUGAGGUUCUAACCCAGACCCGUCAUCCGGGUCGGGGACCGUGCAUGGUAGGCAGUUUGACUGGGGCGGUCUCCUCCCAAAGCGUAACGGAGGAGUUCGAAGGUUACCUAGGUCCGGUCGGAAAUCGGACUGAUAGUGCAAUGGCAAAAGGUAGCUUAACUGCGAGACCGACAAGUCGGGCAGGUGCGAAAGCAGGACAUAGUGAUCCGGUGGUUCUGUAUGGAAGGGCCAUCGCUCAACGGAUAAAAGGUACUCCGGGGAUAACAGGCUGAUUCCGCCCAAGAGUUCAUAUCGACGGCGGAGUUUGGCACCUCGAUGUCGGCUCAUCACAUCCUGGGGCUGUAGUCGGUCCCAAGGGUAUGGCUGUUCGCCAUUUAAAGUGGUACGUGAGCUGGGUUUAAAACGUCGUGAGACAGUUUGGUCCCUAUCUGCAGUGGGCGUUGGAAGUUUGACGGGGGCUGCUCCUAGUACGAGAGGACCGGAGUGGACGAACCUCUGGUGUACCGGUUGUAACGCCAGUUGCAUAGCCGGGUAGCUAAGUUCGGAAGAGAUAAGCGCUGAAAGCAUCUAAGCGCGAAACUCGCCUGAAGAUGAGACUUCCCUUGCGGUUUAACCGCACUAAAGGGUCGUUCGAGACCAGGACGUUGAUAGGUGGGGUGUGGAAGCGCGGUAACGCGUGAAGCUAACCCAUACUAAUUGCCCGUGAGGCUUGACUCUAU